rnacentral:rRNA from 1 species
CUACGCACUCCUACGGGAGGCAGCAGUGGGGAAUAUUGCACAAUGGGCGCAAGCCUGAUGCAGCCAUGCCGCGUGUAUGAAGAAGGCCUUCGGGUUGUAAAGUACUUUCAGCAGUGAGGAAGUGGGUAUGUUAAUAGCAUAUUCAUUUGACGUUAGCUGCAGAAGAAGCACCGGCUAACUCCGUGCCAGCAGCCGCGGUAAUACGGAGGGUGCGAGCGUUAAUCGGAAUUACUGGGCGUAAAGCGCAUGCAGGUGGUUUGUUAAGUCAGAUGUGAAAGCCCGGGGCUCAACCUCGGAAUUGCAUUUGAAACUGGCAAACUAGAGUACUGUAGAGGGGGUAGAAUUUCAGGUGUAGCGGUGAAAUGCGUAGAGAUCUGAAGGAAUACCGGUGGCGAAGGCGGCCCCCUGGACAGAUACUGACACUCAGAUGCGAAAGCGUGGGGAGCAAACAGGAUUAGAUACCCUGGUAG